AGAGAGACAGGGACACACGUGGUCACGCACCAUACAGACCCCAGUGGCAGCAGAUGGGAGCGUGCCGACCUUCAUGGCAGGGCACAUGUCACGACCAGCGUCAGGUGUCAGGCCUCAGCUGGGCCCUUCACCUAUCCUAACUCAUGACAUCCUCCAGCAACCCCAGGGGGCCGUGCUGUCAUGCCCCAAGGGGCCGAUGGCCUGGGUUCCAAUUCCUUGUCACCACUUCCUAGCUGUGGGACCUCGCCCAGUUCCUUAACCGCCAAUGCCUCAGUUUCCUUAUCUGCUAAAAGGAGGAGGAAUAAUUAUCUUAAAAUUGACUAUGCAAAUACAGAAACCAGGAACGCACCAGAAGUCAGACUUCAGCAGCACAUGCUGUGCAAGGACUGAGCUUUCGCCUGUUUUGUUCUCGGCUGUCUCCCCGGCCCUGAGCACAGCGCUGGCAUCUCCAGCUGCUCGAUAAACAUUUCUGGAAUGUGCCCUGGUUGGAUGAGCAGGGCCUGGCACAGAGUAGGGGCCCUGAAAUGAUUACUGUAGAGAGGAGGAAGCCGAGGCAUGGAGAGGUGGGUCGCACUCGCCCAGCUGGGAAGCAGCCGGGCUGGGAUCUGAGACUCAGGCGCAGGCCAGGGGCUCCGGUGAGUGCGCUCUGAAGGCCCGCGCUCUGCCCCUGCAGGACACACUCCCAGAAGAAGGCACAGAACGGCCUGCUCUGGGUUUCUUCCAGAAUCCCUGUCGCUCAUUCAGGCUUCAUUCGGUAAGUGCUUAGGAAAGAUUAAAAGGUGCCAGGCACAUGCUCAGGGCUGGGGACAGGAGAGUGGAGGACAGCCAGGCCUCUGGCCUCAGAAGCUUACGUCCCAGAAGGGGAAGUGGAAGCGGAUGGUACACAAGCUACGGCCAGACAGGAAUAAGAGCUGGCAAAGGAACGAGCAGGACUCCACAAGGGGAUCAAGCAGGAGACGAGGAGGGCAGUCAGAGGGCCUCUCGGAGGAGGUGACAUCUAAGCUGAGACCUGGAUCUGAGCGGGAUUUGUGAAGAGGAUCCUCCCCGUGACCUCUGGGAAGCCCGGCCCCCAGCGGCUCAGAGAGAAGAAGCAACUUGCCCAAGGUCGCACAGCCAGAGUGGCAGGUGUGGAUGGGACCAGGCUGAGGCUGAGCUGUUCACUGUCCUCGGACAGAACCGAGUGAGAGGCCCAGCAGCUCAAAGGAAACAGCUCAAAGUGGGCAGGUCAGACAUGUGCAGAAGACAGCAAAGAGCCAGAGGAUGGCUUGAGAGGAGAAAGAACGGCGACGUGGCAGAGAGAGAGCCGCUGGCAACCGCCAGGCAGAGGCAGCUCACUGGGCACACGGAGCCAGGGAGCCCACUCCAGACCCAGCCCAGGGACCUGAGCCUGCCUUCCGUCCCCCCGCCCCGCUGGACCCUGACAGGGGAGGGGUCCUGGCAUCCGGCAGUGAGGAUGGUGGGGAAGACCCUCAGAUCUGGAGUCCUAAGCCUCAUGUUCCAAUCCCGCCUCUGCCACUUGCCAGCUGGUGACCUGGACGAGGAACUUCCCCCGUCUGAGCUUCUGUUUUCUCCUCCCCCAAAAUGGGACAAUAAUACCUUUUUCUCAGGGAGCUGUUACGAGGUUGAGGGCACUUGUGUGUGAAGGUGCCCCGCGGGCCGACCAAAAACGCGAGCACGGGAACGUGGGACGCAAGGGGGUCUGGAUUCUGGCUGUGCCGGCAUCUGCUCAGGGACGCUGGGUGAGACCUGCCGGCUCAGGGACUCCGCCGUCAGCGUCCUGUCACCAGGAGAAUCACCCUCCUGACACAAGGACAUGCAGCACCUGCCCGCUCCGCUCUGUGCUCCUGCAAUCCAGCAUCUUCUAGCCCCUGAUUUCCAACAGAGGAGUGAGCCGGCCACGGGAGGGGUUCGGAUGCACUCACCUCCCCCGGGCACUCUCACCCCAGGCUCCAGCCCGCGUGGCCCCUUGGCUCCCCGAGGCCGUCCACCGCUGACCCCUGCAGAGCAGAGGAGGUGCUGCUUUGGGACGGGUGCCAGAGUGGGGCCAGGCCACCUCAGAGAGGCACAGGGGACAUUGGGCUCCCCAAGGGCCCCUGACAGUGAUUUGAGGGGAAAGUCCUCUGGGGGGCGAGCUGCAGUGCAGGGGGAGGCCACCUCAGCCCCAGAUGUCACCGCUGGGGUCUGAAAGUGCCUGGUCCUACAGGGAGUGAACUGCUCCCUUCGCAGACAGAGAGGUAUGAGCUGAGAAUCUGAGCUGAGCCACUGCUGCCUUAGGGAGCCCCUGGGUCUCUGCCCCCCAGGCUUCUCCCUUCCUCUCAGCCCAGGGACCUUGGAUUUCAGGAAAAGUAAAUAUAACGAUAAGCAAGAACCACCACCACUAUUCCACUGAUUACCGUCUGGGACUGCUGGGUACGGUUGGAAAGGCUGUGCACUGCCCAACUCCAAAGGGCACCAGGUACUUGGCAUACAAUAAACACGGUGCCCCCGGAGUUAGACAGCGCCCUGCCACCACCACCUAACACUGUCCAAAGGCCCACGAUGUGAGUGCCUUGUGUCAUUUAGGCCCCCUAAGAGAAAAGUAUGAUGACCCCAAGUUUACAGAUGAGAAGACGACACCAAGAGGAAGAGCACGUGGCCAGGAGCUGCCGGAACCAGGCUCUCCAUCGAGAUCUACGUGACUUGGAUGCCCAGCUCUCAGCCACUGUGUUAAAAGAGGGAGGCCACGAACAUGACUGGGUCUGGCGUGAAGCCGGGCCCCGGUAAUGUGGAACCAAGAGGAUCCUGGUGGGGGCACUUCACCGCUGUGUCCUUACCUUCCAGGGUGGGGAGGAUUUUUAGUCCCAUUCUCACCUUCCCCCAUUUUACAGAUGGGACAAUCAAGGCCCACAAGGGGAAAUCACUUUGCAGACUCACACACUGGAUCUGAGGCUCACUGCCCUCCUGUCCGUGCCAUUCCAGGGGGGGCGGGUAAGAAUGCAGCUCUGGGGUCGGAUGCCUCCCUGACGACAGAGACUGCUGCUCCCUUGAGCCUCAGUUUUCCCAUUCUGCAAAAUGGGCUGUGGGGAGCUUGGAACGAGAUAAGAGCAAGCACCCCAAAAUCUCAGCUAUGAUUUUCUUUGUGCCCUGUUGGAAAUCAACCGGGGGAAGGCUGCUCCUGCCUUGCUUUGCCCGCCCUCCCUUCCUCGUUAUCGCUCCUCACUUCUAUACAGUUUUUCUCUGACCCUGAAACACCGCCCGAUGGACACACCUGAGCCGGGAUGGGGAAGGGUACCCAGGUGUAACCACAGCAACCAGCCGGCUGCCCCGCCCCCGAGCGGCAGCACACAGGCCCGGCACUCCCGGGGCCCAGGUGGCCAACCUCGGAGUCCCGCCUCUUGGAACAAAUACAAACGGUCAGGGACGCAGGGCCCUUGAAGCUCUUCUGGAGGCGAGAUGGCUCUGGCCCAGCCGCCCUCCGGCGGCCCUUGAAAUGCCAGAGAGCUGGAGAGGCCCGCCAGCUGGGCAGCUCCCACCCACGGCAGAGCCCGCCGUCACCGAGAGCCGUGCAUGCAACGUGGGCACCAGCCACAGGGAGGUCAACUGAAAUGAGGCACAGUUCAACUGAAAAUUCAGCUCCUCGUUUGCACUGGCCACAUCCCAAGUGCCCAGGAGCCACGUGAUGGCCAGUGGCUACCGUCCUGGACACUGCAGACCUAGGAGGGGGGUCAGCAAACUGCGGCCCUCAGGCCCUAUCUACCCUUUGGCCUUUUGUUGUAUGGUCUUUGAGCUGAGAGGGGAUUUUACGUUUUUAAGGGAGAAGAGGCCACAGCAAAAAGUGUACAUGCUCUACAAAACCUGAAAUAUUUACUAUCUGGACAUUUAUAGAAAAAGUUGUGCACCCCUGUUCUAGAACAUUCCAUCAUUUGCACAAAGUCCUAUUGGAUGGACAAAUGAGCUGCAUGGGGAGGGGUCAAUGAGCCCUCCUUUUCUCGUAGGAGGAACAUCAGCAUGUAUUAAGCGCCACUGUAUAUUUAAGCCCAGACCAAGGGCUUUCCAUGCCCUACCUCGGUUUAUCCUCCCAACAGCCCAAUGGCUGGGUGGGGCUGGGCGGGGGCACCCUGGUGCUCCAAGUUCCAAAUGACAAAGGCCCAUGUGGGUGCCAGGUGCGCAGGACUAUGCCAAAAAGAAAACCACGAAAUCCGCUAACCAACCAGCAAACACAAACCGCAGAUAAGAAAAAAACAAAAAAGAAAGAAAUUCAAAAUGCCACCAGGGACGGUGUUCGGGGAGUAGGUGAUAAUACUUUUCUGCUAAAAACCUCCUCUUAUGGUGUUGUUAUAUUGUCUUUCUAUAUAAUAAAAUAAUAAAAUGA